GAAGUGAGUCAGAGCGUCUUAGUAUGGCAUAAAAUAAUAAGCAAGUCUCGUACAGGGAAGUACGAGACAGGUCGUACUGAGCCCGGACGGCGAAUUACGACCGUUUGCGUCAAAAAAAUUAUUUUACUCUGCCAUACUUAGAGGCUCUUCG
rnacentral:ncRNA from 1 species